ensembl:lncRNA
CAGAAGAACAUUCGCAGAGGGCCCCAAGCAUGAUAGUUUUCAGCUUCAUGUGAAUUUAGCAAUGCAGCAUGGAGCCCUGCAAGGCAGGGACAAGUGCCUUUUGGGCCGUCUUAUGUUCCUUCCUUAGAAUUUUAGAAGUCCCAGAUCUUAGGAGAAGUUAAAGUUGUGAGUAACUAGGUUCUCAUUAAAACAUGAAGAACAGAUUGCAAAAAAUCAACAUAAACUUCUUAGACAACUGAGAAGAAGGGCCUGCAUGCAGGGAGAACCGCUUCAUUGAAACCGUGUUUUAAAAUUGGUGAUGGUUCUGGCUUUAAGAGAUCAUAAUUCAUGAGCUUAUCUGAAGUGACAUGUAAAUUACAUACAUACGUGUUUUUAAAGCAGGCAGUUGUUUAGCUUGACUAUCUCAGGUCUGAAGUUGAAUUUUACAAGUUAGAGUUGCAGCAAGAAACAACUUGACAUGCUGUGGUUAUGCAAUCAGGACAGGAGUGGUUAGAUGUAACCUGGGCUAGAAUGAACAUAGAAAUGAACACAGCAGUGUCUCCAGGGGCUGGGUAUUAAGAAGUUCCUUUUUUUUUUUUUUUUUUUCCCUAUUCAGUGUGUUCCUGAAAAAUGUAUUUCCUAGAUUGUAGGCUAGUCACAUAAUGUCAAGAUUGCUUUCUCUCUAUACUUGCAAGAGAAGAUGCAGCUUCCCCAGUCUGAAAUGGAAACUGAGAUUAACUGACCCCGAGCUACUGGGAGGCAGCUCAUCUCUGCAGCCCUAAUGGUGGCUGGUGGUGGUGCACUUGGAAGUCAUUCAAUGAGUGAUUGCAUUGAAUGGAAUUCACCUAAUUAGUUAAGAUCUGCAUUGUGUCAGAAACCUCCUUGGAAAUACAUUAGAUUCAGAUGUCCAUUUUCAUAGAUCAGUAGGAUAGUUUACCAGGAGCUCCCUAUUAUGCCUUAGGUAGAGUUUUUCAGUGCCGAAAAGUGUUGGACAGGAAAGUUAACAUACCAACCGAUAUGUCUUCUCAAGUUACUAGAAUGUCUAGUUAGGGGCAUCUUGAUUUGGGAUGUAUAUAUAUAUCUGUACUUGACAAAUAUUCUUCACUCCAGAUUGUGACUCUGGUCUUUGUCUUUUUUUUUUUUUUUGUCUGAGAGAUUCACAUUUUUAUAAGGUGCUUUAUGGUUUUCAGAGUUCUUUCGUGUACCCUUGUCUUAUUUGACAUUGUCCUGUGUCCUCAGCACUCCGGGUUGUCCAUGCUGGGAUCUCCCCCAGAAUGAUCCUGCGUUGAGUAGUCAGGGAGAGGGCCUGGGGAAGCUCAGGGAACCCCACCUCUUGGUUUACUGGAUUUUCCCAAGGAAGCCGGAAUGGGCCUUCACUGCUGUUCCCUCUAAGAUCACUCACAACAAGGAGAGUUGAGACCUGUCUCAUGCCCCGAGCACACUCAGCCUGCCAGCUUUCAGUCUGUGGCUCUGCCUCUACAUCUGUUCGCUCUCUUUGGGCUGCCUUUUACCUUGCUCCUUUGCCAAAUGUCCCUGUCACUUCCCUAUCCUUGCUGCAGUUUUUCCAUGGUUUUCUGUCCUACAUAUUUUUUUUUUGUCUUUUUUUGGGGGGAGGCCACACCCACAGCAUAUGGAGGAUCCCAGGCUAGGGUUCCAAUCAGAGCUGUAACCGCCGGCCUACACCAAAGCCAUAGCAACUCAGGAUCCGAGCCGCGUCUGUGACCUACACCACAGCUCACAGCAACGCUGGAUCCUUAGCCCACUGAGCCAGGCCAGGGAUUGAACCCGCAGCCUCAUAGAUGCUAGUCAGGUUCGCUAACCGCUGAGCCAUGAUGGGAACUCCUGUCCCCUAGGUUUUUAUCGCAGGCCGACCUGCUGCUUUUCCCACCACCUUACUUUUGCCUGCAAGACUUGGGUUGUGUGUCCAAAUGAUCUUUUCCAGUAUUUUAACCUUGUGUCCAGACCCACUUUUCUUUCUGACUCCUCCCACCUCUCCACGCAAGUGUAGACUUUCUACUCCCAGCCACUUCUCCCUUCUGUCCUCAGGGCCCCUGUGCCUCGUCCUCCUUUGGCCCCCACACCUCCCUUAUUACUUCCACCCACUUCUCUCCAUCAAGCCUUCAGAUCUUCCAGCACAUGCCUGCUUCUACCUGUUGCACUGAUGUUUACAGCAGUCAUGAGCUGAAGCUGCAUGCUUUGUACCUUGUACAAAAGUGGAGUUAGAACAUUCCCAAGUUUGGGGAUCUUUCUGCCUUUGUCUUCACUUUUGAUUCCACAGUAUUUUUGACUUUUAAAGGCUCUUGGGCCAUUUAGUAAGAGCUAAAGCACUUUGCUUCUUUAUUGGACUUAGCUCUUAGGUCCUAUGGUGGAUAAUAGAUAAAGAAUAUCUCGGUGAUUAUGAUUUUUAAAGAUUUGGGCAACAAACCUUGAAAAGCAUCUCAGAGGUUUUUAUAAUGGCACCUUCAAAAGGAUUUACUGUACACCAAAAUCUACCUAUAAAUCACAGAAGUAGGAUGGUUUCAUUUCAUCCUUAUUACCUUACUUUUUUGCUGAAAUAAAUGUUAGUUAAAUGAAUAUUGGUUAAAUUAAUAUUACUGUAACUCAAACCAAAUUUUUUCUCAUUUGCUGUGGUUUAAUGGCUCUCCAUGAAAAUUUUACAAGCUCACUAGACACAUUUAUGCCAGGCAAGGAUUCUUUAGCCAAGACCUAACAUUGUUGCUUUCCUUUAUAAAUUUAUAACCUAUGUUGGCCCUAUCAGUAGGGUCAGUGGGAGAAAAAGUAUUAAACUGAGGACUGCUACUGAGAAAACACAUCCUAUUGACUCCUUGCAUAGGAACUUGAAUCGGUCAUUUUCUAAACUGUCCUUCAAAAGUAGAGGCAACUGUAGUUAUGCAAUAUUCUGAGUGCUCCAGGGCUUUUGGAAGAAAGUGCUUUAAAGCGGAGAAGGGAGAAUGGUUUUUAAAUAAGAAUUCCCUUUCUUUGAUGGGUCUGUGUUUUAUUUCAGUGCAGUGAAUAUCGCAGUCAUUUCAGUUCAUUGUUAAGCCAUCUUUUUAGGACGCUUUCCACCUUGCUUGGUGACUUAUGAUUUUCCCGCCUGAGUAGGGGAGGGAAGGCCAAUGAGAGGUUGCUAGUCUUUGCUGAAAUGUGGGGACAUUUUUCACACCCCUCAUCACAAAUGCUAGUGGAGUAGGUGAGACCCACUCAGCAAUCUAAGUAAGAGCUGCAGUGUGUAUUAUCACAAGCGCUCCUAGAAGCUUCUCCCUGAACCCCCAGAGUCGACAAGGAGAUCUGCACAUGGUUAUUGACAGGGGAACCCCCAUAUUAACCCUAAGCUUUCUUUCAUGGGAGGAGUGAAAGGCCAGAUGUAGACUAGGAGACGCUGCAGGCUGCCAAGCCGAGGUUUGAGGAGAACUUUUCAAAGACACAGAUAACUGGUACACGCCAAGGGGUGGCUUCAGCAAUUCUGUCUGAAAGUUCUGCCCGAAGCAAUUUUCCUAGAUAAUUUUGUAACAGUUCUUACAAUUAAAGGGUUAUAAAGGAAUAAGCAACAUACAGCUCCUUCUGUGAUUCAGGUGGAUACUGUUACCAUGUUGAUGAAGGAGGUGAGAAUCCAGGAACCUCCUUAAGUUGCUUAAUAUUUACUGAAAAUUCAGAUGUUCUGGUGUCUGUGCCAGGAAUCCAGGACAGUCUAGGUACAGCUCCCAAAACAAAUGUUCUGCUUAUGCUUAGUGACCGCCCCGACACCCAGGCCCGCCCUGCCUGGGGCUCGCCUCCCUUCUGCUGCUUCUCUUGAGGUCCAAGCCUUUUCUCAGUCUCAGUUCUGUUCUCUUCACCAGGGAGCUUCUUCUCUGACCAUCAGAGUGCUUUCUCCCUUGGCUUCCAUGAACUCUUACAACACUUAUUUGAUGUUUAUUUAUUUUAUUGCAUUAUUGGUUUUGCUCUUCCUUUAUGUAUUUCUUGUUGCCCUACUGAAUUAUCACUUCUAGCAUGCCUAAUGGGCUUUAAGAGUAUCACGUGCUGAAUCGGUACCUGUGGGUUGAUUGACAGCUACUCAUUGGUCUGAGGUGAGGCUUAGAAUUUUUCCCUGUGAAGACCUUGCUCCCAUGUAAAACUCUUUAACCAAAUGAGGAAGUGGAGUUUCUCAGGGAUGAGAAAAGAUAAUGGGAAUUUUAAAAUUCUUUUGCUGGCCAAGGUUAAAGCAUCUAAUCUGUCUUGCUCACUUAGAUAAUGUAUUAAACAUUUACUUUUGUGGAUGAUACUUUGUGUCAUCUUCGUGCCUGGCACUGGCGAGAUGCAGGAGAUACAGAUAGAAACCCUGGCCCUGCCUUUUGUAGACUUCUCAGAGGAGCGUGGGAAUUGACACGCAAGCACGUGGUAGGUGGGAAGUGGUCAUGUGCCCUGGGAGUUGAGGGGAGAAGGCAGCCAACUCUGUCUCAGUGUAGGCUGAGCAGGCGUCCUGGUUUCCCUGGGACAGUCCUGGUCUGUGCCUGUUGUUCAACAUAGUAUUAAUGCACCCCCUUUGCCCUCAGAAGUCUUCCCAUUUGAAUAAUAAAUUGUAAGAUUCCCCCAACAUGGAGAAGUCAUAGAAGGCUUCACAGAGAAGGGGGUAUUUGGGAUGACACUUGAAAGCUACACAAGGAUAUUGUUUUGCAUUUCUAAAAAUAUUAGGGGACCAAUGUGGGUUUGCUAAUCAUUUCUCCUCAUUUUCUGUGGAUUCAGACUAAUUCAUAGACUGGCAUUUGGGGACAAAGGGACUUGGGGUUAGAUGGAAGAUGGAGUAGGGCCCUCCAGGUGGAGGACACACGAUGUUGUGGAGACACGUGGAUGUGGGUCAGUGUGGCUGGCUUUUCUGCAUCUGGUGGUGCACAGUGGGAAACGAGCCUGGGAACUCUGCAAGGCCUCACUGGUGAGGAGUUUGGACUUAUUGCCCGACAUAGAAGCAGUGAGAGGCAUUGAAAGAUUGUCAAUAGAGGAGACACAUAAUUUGCAUGAUAGAUGGUUCCUUUGUGAGAGUGAGUAAAAGUCUAGAGGGGAACAGAGAGUGUCCCUAGAUACCUGCCACACACUAGGGGGCUCAGCACGGGUUUGUUGAAUGAAUGCAUGAGAGUUUUUGAAUAUGUGGUAUUUGAAGUCACAUGGUUUUGUAUGAAAUUUGUCAGGGGAAGUAAAUAGAGGGAGAGCACUAACCACGCAUUUCAGGGAACACCAACCUUUACGGGCUGUGGACGGACAGGAGAGUGAAGGAGCCUGAAAAGUGCAGACUCUCAGAGAGCCAGGAGAACCAGGAGGUAGUGUCAGGAAGAAAGGACAGACCAAGAACUGGAAUGUGCUUAGAAUUGUCACAUGAAGAAGUAAAAUCGUAUUGAAGGGGUUUUCUCAAAUUUCAGUUUGAUGGUUUUUUCUUUUUUUCUUUUUCUUCUUCUUUUUUUUUUUUCCCCCUGUGGAGCUGUAUUCGCUUGUCUACGCCACAGCCACAGCAACACAGGAUCUGAGCCAUGUCUGCAACCUACACCCCAACUCACAGCAAUGCCAGAUCCUUGGUGCACUGAGCAAGGCCAGGGAUCAAACCUGCAUCCUUAUGGCUGCUGGUCAGGUUCAUUAACCACUGAACCACGAUGGGCACUCCCAGAGUCUGAUGUUUUUAUAACUUUGUUGGUUUUAUAUGUUGAGAUUCUGAGGUUUGCCAUAUAUAAUUUAUGCCAGUGUAGUAAAAGUUUGGAACCAUGUUUUGGGAAGAUGGUGAAAUAGCACAGUAUUUUAAUCAUUGUGAAUUUAUGACUGUGCAUGGUAAUUUAUAAAGGGGUUAAAAUACUCGAGUGUUUAAUAUUCCACCAGGUGAUGAGCCAUCCACAGUAUGGAACCUUAAGUGACAUCAUAUCAUGGUCACAAAGGGCGGCUAGAUGCAAAAGCCAGCCGAGUGGCAGUGUCGUUGAAGGUUGUGGUAUAAAUACUCUUGUUGCAGAGCAGAUGGUUAUUUGUCCUCCGGCUCCACUGGGGGACCCUGGUUAGAGGUGGGGGCUGCAUCAUAAUGUGUUGGAAAGGGUGUGGGCUUAGGAUUCAGCAAAUUUUAUCCCAUUUUCAUGACCUCCUAACUCAAGCUUCAUGAUCUUGAGCACCAAUGGUAAUAACUGACAAUAGCAAUAAAAAAACUAACUUGUAUUGAGUGCUUUCUCCUGGGUGCUGUGCUUGUAUUGAGUUUUCUCUGUGCCCGGGUGCUGUGCUGAGUACAUGGCAUACAUGGUCCUCUUGAAUGCUUGCAACAACCUUCUGAAGAACCUUCUGAAGAAACCUGUGACUAUUACUACUACUUUUAGAUAAGGAAGAACUGAGCCUCCGUCAGGGCCUCUGGGACCUCGAUCAAGGUCCUGUGGCCGGCAAGUGGCCGUGCUGAGUCUGGAGUGCAGGCUGUCUGACUCUCAAGUCAGGCUUUUAAUUCCCAACUCCUGGGCGGUUCUCUCUUCUGCAUUUCCCUUCCUCUUCCCACCACGCACCUGUUCC